rnacentral:rRNA from 1 species
GACGAACGCUGGCGGCGUGCUUAACACAUGCAAGUCGAACGGAAAGGCCCUGCUUUUGUGGGGUGCUCGAGUGGCGAACGGGUGAGUAACACGUGAGUAACCUGCCCUUGACUUUGGGAUAACUUCAGGAAACUGGGGCUAAUACCGGAUAGGAGCUCCUGCUGCAUGGUGGGGGUUGGAAAGUUUCGGCGGUUGGGGAUGGACUCGCGGCUUAUCAGCUUGUUGGUGGGGUAGUGGCUUACCAAGGCUUUGACGGGUAGCCGGCCUGAGAGGGUGACCGGCCACAUUGGGACUGAGAUACGGCCCAGACUCCUACGGGAGGCAGCAGUGGGGAAUAUUGCACAAUGGGCGAAAGCCUGAUGCAGCAACGCCGCGUGCGGGAUGACGGCCUUCGGGUUGUAAACCGCUUUAGCCUGUGACGAAGCGUGAGUGACGGUAAUGGGUAAAGAAGCACCGGCUAACUACGUG